ensembl:lncRNA
AGCAAAAGAGAUGCUUUAGUCUUUAGUUUGUAUGUACAUGUGAUGUAUAAUUUUUCCUUUUUUCAGGGCAGGUUUGGAAGAUGCUGAGGUUAAACACUGGGUGGGUAAGAUGGCUCUACCUUUGCCCCCAUUGCUGCGAGCAGUGGUGCAGGCGAUUGUUAGCUAACACCACAGAAAUGGAAUAUGAAGUGUUUGAGAUGCGACAGCACUCUGGCAAGCCUCUGCUGGGAUGGGGCGCAGUGUGCGAGUGCUGAGAGGAGAAAGGAAAGAGAGAGAGGAGAGCGGAGGAGGAGGUGAGGGAGACACUAGGAUCUGUACUGUUAGG